GUGCCAGCCGCCGCGGUAAAACGUAGGAGCCAAGCGUUAUCCGAAUUCACUGGGCGUAAAGCGCGUGCAGGCGGUAUGGCAAGUUGGAUGUGAAAUCUCCCGGCUCAACUGGGAGAGGCCGUUCAAUACUGCCAAACUAGAGGGCGACAGAGGGAGGUGGAAUUCCGGGUGUAGUGGUGAAAUGCGUAGAUAUCCGGAGGAACACCAGAGGCGAAGGCGACCUCCUGGGUCGAACCUGACGCUCAGACGCGAAAGCUAGGGGAGCAAACGGGAUUAGAAACCCUAGUAGUCC
rnacentral:rRNA from 1 species